GAUGAACGCUAGCUACAGGCUUAACACAUGCAAGUCGAGGGGAAACGACAUCGAAAGCUUGCUUUUGAUGGGCGUCGACCGGCGCACGGGUGAGUAACGCGUAUCCAACCUGCCCACCACUUGGGGAUAACCUUGCGAAAGUAAGACUAAUACCCAAUGAUAUCUCUAGAAGACAUCUGAAAGAGAUUAAAGAUUUAUCGGUGAUGGAUGGGGAUGCGUCUGAGUAGCUUGUGGGCGGGGUAACGGCCCACCAAGGCUACGAUCAGUAGGGGUUCUGAGAGGAAGGUCCCCCACAUUGGAACUGAGACACGGUCCAAACUCCUACGGGAGGCAGCAGUGAGGAAUAUUGGUCAAUGGACGAGAGUCUGAACCAGCCAAGUAGCGUGCAGGAUGACGGCCCUAUGGGUUGUAAACUGCUUUUAUAAGGGAAUAAAGUGAGUCUCGUGAGACUUUUUGCAUGUACCUUAUGAAUAAGGACCGGCUAAUUCCGUGCCAGCCGCCGCGGUAA
rnacentral:rRNA from 1 species